UACGUAGGGGGCAAGCGUUGUCCGGAAUCAUUAGGCGUAAAGCGCGUGUAGGCGGCUCGAUAAGUCUGCUGUGAAAGUCCAGGGCUCAACCCUGGAAUGCCGGUGGAAACUGUCGAGCUAGAGUCCGGAAGAGGCGAGUGGAAUUCCUGGUGUAGCGGUGAAAUGCGCAGAUAUCAGGAGGAACACCAAUGGCGAAGGCAGCUCGCUGGGACGGUACUGACGCUGAGACGCGAAAGCGUGGGGAGCAAACAGG
rnacentral:rRNA from 1 species